UAGUGAACCAGUACCGUGAGGGAAAGGCGAAAAGAACCCCGGCGAGGGGAGUGAAAAAGAACCUGAAACCGUGUACGUACAAGCAGUGGGAGCCUCUUAAUGGGGUGACUGCGUACCUUUUGUAUAAUGGGUCAGCGACUUAUAUUCUGUAGCAAGGUUAACCGAAUAGGGGAGCCGAAGGGAAACCGAGUCUUAACUGGGCGUUAAGUUGCAGGGUAUAGACCCGAAACCCGGUGAUCUAGCCAUGGGCAGGUUGAAGGUUGGGUAACACUAACUGGAGGACCGAACCGACUAAUGUUGAAAAAUUAGCGGAUGACUUGUGGCUGGGGGUGAAAGGCCAAUCAAACCGGGAGAUAGCUGGUUCUCCCCGAAAGCUAUUUAGGUAGCGCCUCGUGAAUUCAUCUCCGGGGGUAGAGCACUGUUUCGGCAAGGGGGUCAUCCCGACUUACCAACCCGAUGCAAACUGCGAAUACCGGAGAAUGUUAUCACGGGAGACACACGGCGGGUGCUAACGUCCGUCGUGAAGAGGGAAACAACCCAGACCGCCAGCUAAGGUCCCAAAGUCAUGGUUAAGUGGGAAACGAUGUGGGAAGGCCCAGACAGCCAGGAUGUUGGCUUAGAAGCAGCCAUCAUUUAAAGAAAGCGUAAUAGCUCACUGGUCGAGUCGGCCUGCGCGGAAGAUGUAACGGGGCUAAACCAUGCACCGAAGCUGCGGCAGCGACACUAUGUGUUGUUGGGUAGGGGAGCG
rnacentral:rRNA from 1 species